GGGCCCGCACAAGCGGCGGAGCAUGUGGAUUAAUUCGAUGCAACGCGAAGAACCUUACCUGGGUUUGACAUGCACCAGACAUCCCUAGAGAUAGGGCUUCCCUUGUGGUUGGUGUGCAGGUGGUGCAUGGCUGUCGUCAGCUCGUGUCGUGAGAUGUUGGGUUAAGUCCCGCAACGAGCGCAACCCUCGUUCCAUGUUGCCAGCGGGUUAUGCCGGGGACUCAUGGGAGACUGCCGGGGUCAACUCGGAGGAAGGUGGGGAUGACGUCAAGUCAUCAUGCCCCUUAUGUCCAGGGCUUCACACAUGCUACAAUGGCAAGUACAGAGGGCUGCGAGACCGUGAGGUGGAGCGAAUCCCUUAAAGCUUGUCUCAGUUCGGAUCGGGGUCUGCAACUCGACCCCGUGAAGUUGGAGUCGCUAGUAAUCGCAGAUCAGCAACGCUGCGGUGAAUACGUUCCCGGGCCUU
rnacentral:rRNA from 1 species